UCUCAACAGCCACUGGAAAGUGGGGACCCAGCUGCUGCAAUUUGUAGCAUUUUCACGCAGAAGCCUGGUAACAACCAGCAUGAUCCAUACAGGUCAUGUCUUUGAGGACUUCAGCUCCAAUGCCUUCAACUCCUUUCAAAAUGGAUUUUUUGCUUUUAGAAUAUCCAGCUUGGAAGCUCUUUCAGAGAGGCAGCAAAAACAUAUGUGGUAUCAUGAACAAUUCUGUCAGAUGUUAUUCAAAAGCACAGAAAUACAUAGAAUCCUCCAGAAAAGGCUACAUUCUUUUUUAAACAAACAAACAAACCUCUUAUUGAGAACAGCUUACCUUUAAUUCUUGCUUUUAGAAACAAUUAUUUUUGCUGCAAAUAAUUCAAAAAUGUCAAAAUAUUACAAGUGUUACAAUGAGAGUCACAGAGAGAAUCCUAAGUUAAAUUAGCUAGCAGGACGUUAUAAAGAAAAUAUUAGGCAACUCAAAGUCUAGCCAUAACAAUCAUUCCCAGCAACAAGAAGCAAAAAGCAUAGGAAAGGCAGUAUUGCAUAACAAUACCACAGUGAUCUCACAUGAUACCUCACCAGGAUUUCACAGAACGUUAGAAGAUGGACUCAGUUUUAUUUUUGUGAAAAUGAUGUGGCCCACAAAAUAUGGAAGACAAUCACAGGCUAUGGCGAAAGAGUGAACCCUGGCCAAGACUGCGGGUUGCGCAUCUGGACGCAGCUUAAGAUGAGGCAAUUACUUAUCCUACAAUAGCUCUGAUACUUCAAGAUGUUGUGCUCCAUGUGUAUCCUAUUGUACAAGUCUGCGAGGCACAUGUACACAACACAUGCUUUCCUGGCAGCCCCAGCAUUCAGCAGAGCUAUGCUUGUACAUUCUGCUCCUUAUGUUCCCAUAUGAGAGGAAAUAAAGGCUAGGAUAACUUUGCCCAAUUAUCCUCGCAAUGUUAAGCCUAUACUGCUGAGAAUUCCAAACAGUCUGGACAGAAAGCUGGGUAGAAAAUCUUCAUUGACAGCAAGUGUACUGGUGGUAAAUAAUUGUUUUGU